CGGGGCUUUCGCGGGCGCGCAGGCGCACAGGCGUUGGCGCGGCCGGCGGCGGCCUCCGCGGGCGUAGCUGUGCGGGUCUCCAAAGGCGGCAGUAGGUGCGGGGGCUACUCGGCUACCGUUGCUGCGCCCGUGCACCGCGCAUUCAACGGAUCCUGGCACGUGGCGCUCUGGCCCGCGAGAAGCUAGCGCUUGCCCGUCGGCUCAGGGCAGCUCCUCCCGCGGCGCUUUGUUCCGGGGCCGCGUGACCCCCCCGGCUCCGGCCGGAGGGGUCGCCCAGCGGGAUGCGAGCCCCAGGCUGGCCGCCGCCGCGGCCUUGUGCCCUCCCCCUUGUUUUGUCUGCUGAUUUAGCCCAGCGCCUCCACGGAUCCUUCCCAACUCCACUCAGUCCCAAAGAAAAAGCGGCUGCCCUGCCCGCCGACCGGGACCCCACCCCUAAAGAGAGUCCCAGCCUCUCCCGAGGUUGAGCCGCUCCUCAGCAACAGCGGGACGAGCUUCAAAAGCUUGUUUCAGCUGAAAAGUGGGUAAUGGGGAAGCACGCGUUUUCCUGUGUCCAUGCUCAUCUGGAAAGUCCCUAAUUAGGGACUCUGCAUUCCACUUCUUGAAAUAAUAAAAGGAAAACAUCACUUGCAAUUCUUUGAUGGGUGCUAUGAGCAGAAGCAAGCAUCUGAGACAUUUACAAGCCCUAACUGGAAUUCCAUACUAUGUGCUUGGCAUAGCCAUGUGGCCUUGACCUGGUCGUGAAGGGCAGAGGAGUUCUGUCCUGGGCGAGGAGCAGCUCUGGGGUGAGAUGUGUUUCUCGCCCCCAGAACCCCUGGGCCGCUCUGCAAGCAGUGA
rnacentral:lncRNA from 1 species